UUGCGUGAAGGACACAAUUUUGCUUAUGUGAGAGCAAGCCAAAUUGGAGGCCAGCAGCAGGAGAGCAGCAGCACCCCCUCUUGGUUUUGCGCAAACGACGAGAGCAUCACACAGGUGUCGCUGGAACAGGUACUGAAGUGUCAGGCCUACAUGCUUUUCUAUGAAAGGGUUGAGCUGCCGCAGGCCGAGCCAGUUGUACAAGAACAUCUGCCAACCGACCACUGA
rnacentral:rRNA from 1 species